rnacentral:rRNA from 1 species
UACGUAGGUGGCAAGCGUUGUCCGGAAUUACUGGGUGUAAAGGGAGCGCAGGCGGGAAACCAAGUCAGCUGUGAAAACUACGGGCUUAACUUGUAGACUGCAGUUGAAACUGGUUUUCUUGAGUGAAGUAGAGGUUGGCGGAAUUCCGAGUGUAGCGGUGAAAUGCGUAGAUAUUCGGAGGAACACCGGUGGCGAAGGCGGCCAACUGGGCUUUAACUGACGCUGAGGCUCGAAAGUGUGGGGAGCAGACAGG